AUUGAACGCUGGCGGCAGGCCUAACACAUGCAAGUCGAGCGGUAGAGAGAAGCUUGCUUCUCUUGAGAGCGGCGGACGGGUGAGUAAUGCCUAGGAAUCUGCCUGGUAGUGGGGGAUAACGUUCGGAAACGGACGCUAAUACCGCAUACGUCCUACGGGAGAAAGCAGGGGACCUUCGGGCCUUGCGCUACCAGAUGAGCCUAGGUCGGAUUAGCUAGUUGGUGAGGUAAUGGCUCACCAAGGCGACGAUCCGUAACUGGUAUGAGAGGAUGGACAGGCAGACUGAAACUGAGACACGGUCAAGACUCCUACGGGAGGCAGCAGUGGGGAAUAUUGGACAAUGGGCGAGAGCCUGAUCCAGCCAUGCCGCGUGUGUGAAGAAGGUCUUCGGAUUGUAAAGCGCUUUAUGUUGGGAGGAAGGGUUGUAGAUUAAUACUCUGCAAUUUUGACGUUACCGACAGAAUAAGCACCGGCUAACUCUGUGCCAGCCGCCGCGGUAA
rnacentral:rRNA from 1 species